rnacentral:tRNA from 1 species
GUCCUUGUAGUAUAUACUAAUACAUUAGUCUUGUAAACUAAAAAUGGAACAUGCCCCCUGGGACA